GAGAGAGAGAGAGAGAGAGAGCCCCAUCAACAAACUGAGGAUGAUAUAAAGAAACAAUUCAAAGCAGAUAAACUGAAAAGCUGAACCACAAAACAAAAAUAAAGAUAUGCCCAUCUAGUCAUUAUGAAACCUAAUCUAUUAAGAUACUCACAAAAGAGGACAUAAAUUCUUCAUUUGCAUCUGUUAUUAAUACAAGGAGCACAUUUAUAACGUUGAAGCAACAUGUUUUUGAAGACAUAGGUCAGGUUUUUAAGGAUGUUGGAUCAAGUUUAAACUUGAUGUUUCAAGGUUGAGUUUGUCCUCAUAUGGUUUUAGGAUAUUGGAGAUGAAUAAGAGUCCAACAAGUAAACCAAGAUGAUACAACAAUCAACACAUGCACAUACCUGCCAGAGUUCUCAUCACAGAUG
rnacentral:misc_RNA from 1 species